ACACACACACACACACACACACACACACACACACACACACACACACACACACAUACAUUUUAACUCAUUAUAGCAAUCUAAUGGGUUGUCUCCCAGUGUGAAAAGAGAGGGGAGAGGCAGGGAGGAGAGCUGAUCCCAUUGACUCUCUCACUCCCCAUUAAGAGUGGCAGCCACACAAGAGCA